rnacentral:rRNA from 1 species
CAUGUCUUUUUGAAUUUAAUUWAAAGKCUAAUCUGCCCACUGAUAUAUUAUUAAAUGGCCGCAGUAUUUUAACUGUGCAAAGGUAGCAUAAUCAAUAGUUUUUUAAUUGAAGACUUGUAUGAAUGAUUGCACGAGACAUAAGCUGUCUUAAAGAAAGUAUUUUGAAUUUUAUUAUUUAGUUAAAAAGCUAAACUAAUUUUAAAAGACGAGAAGACCCUAUAGAUCUUUAUAGAAACAAUAUUUAUUUUUUAAGGUAUGGUUAUUUAGAUUAAUAUUAGUUUUUAUUUUAUUGGGGUGAUAUUGAAAUUUAAUUAACUUUCAAUUUUUAAAUACAUUAGUUUAUGAAUAAUUGAUCCUUUAUUAUUGAUUAAAAAUUUAAGUUACCUUAGGGAUAACAGCGUAAUUAUUUUGGAGAGUUCUUAUCGAUAAAAUAGAUUGCGACCUCGAUGUUGGAUUAAGAUUAAUUCUAGGCGUAGCAGUUUAGAAUAUUAAGUCUGUUCGACUUUUAAUUUCU